rnacentral:lncRNA from 1 species
UAAAAUGCCUUCUAGAAGUGAUAUUUGGAAUCAGCCUUUGCAAUUUCAGUGCCAGAAAGAAUCGAGGUAGAAUUCAAGAAACAAGAAGAAGAUAUUUUUGUCUCUAUCUUUUAAUAUUUUCAGAUGACAGCUUCGACUAAAUUCCUUUUCGAUUAUUUUUACUGACAGAAUUACAAAAUGGUUACCUCGAAUAAGUUUUUGAGCUCCCGCGAAAUGUUCGUGUUGGGCACUUACCUCAAACGUUACAUGACCACGGACGCUGCCGCACACGCGACCUGCCGUCGUCGUGUUAGCGUGUUGCAAGUGCCUCCAACAAACAACCAAGCGUCGAUUGAGUAUGCAAGGAAAAGGGAUACGGAAAGUGAUGAAAAACUGGAAAAAAUGAGUGCCAAUUCCCACAAGGAGAAGGAGCGUUGGUUUCUGUACAAUCAAAAUAUUAUCUAUGCUUUUGUCAGAGAUGCUGGAACGUCCAGUAGAUGUCGUCUUUGAUUUUCUGUACUCGCUGACGUUGCAAAACUUUGGCAAGGUCCUAAAUCCGUUGGGGAAUCCAUGGAAUGCGAGUCAUGUGCCGCUGUCGAACUAUAACACGUGCGAGUGCUGGAAAGCUAAAAACCCCACUGAGAGGUACCAAAGUCAAAAGCGAAGAUCACUUGAAACAAAAAGGCACUCUUCUGGGCAAAGGAGUUAUCGAUGGAGGACUCUUUGGAGCUGGCAGAAGACUAUCGGACACUGUAAAUGGUACUUUCGACGGAAAUUUGAUCAAGGGACUAAGGACAAAUGAUGGCAAAGUAAUACAAACCGAUAAGGAGGGUACUGACUUUAGGAAGAAGCUACAACCCGGCUCUUCCACUCGCGGCAAAGAGCUUUCAUCGCUGAUUGACAAUGUAAAAAAAAAAGAUUCGUCUUUCGAAAAAUUUGGACACGUUGAUAGAUGCAGUGACUGGUCUCGAUUUGGAGACGAAAUGGAAGGAAGAUAUUAAAAAAACAAAAACAAAAACAAGUUCCUGCAGCGACGCUUGACGGAUGAGUAGGCAAUUACGAACCCAUUACUCGGGGAUAAAGAUGGAUCAUCGAAGAAAAUAAAGGGCAAAUAUAAGGGCAAUCAGAUAGAUGGAAAUGGAAAUGCCACUGGCCAGCAGAAGUUUGGGAAAUCCGACUCGAAAGAGGGUAAACGUACAGCCAAUGGAAAAGACACUACUUAUAGCAGCUCGAAAGAGGGAAAAUUUACAACAAAUGCUAAUCAGGGCAAGAGUAAAAAUGUAUUAAAUUAUAGGACAGAAUUGAGUAAUUCUAGUAACAAACGGAAAUCUGAAUACGUCGGUGUGAGAUCCCUUUCUCAAAAGGAUACGGACCAACGCAACGCACCUCAGGAUACGGUGCAAACGAUACCUGCACUUUGCACCUGAGCCCCGAAAAGCAAAUCGUCUGGACAACAAAGGAAUCCAAUGUACGACGAACGCAAAACGCCAUGGCUCUCAAGCAACUAUUUAGAAGAGGAUCCUGACAAAUGUGAUGGGCAGAAACCAAAGACAAAAGAGGCUACCCAUCAACAAGGUGCCACAAAGUUCCAUGAACACCACGAAAAUCGUAAAAAGAGAUAACCGGGAAAAUUCGUUUACUACUACGGAGCACCAAUAACAGUUCUGGUGCACGAACCCUUUGAUAAAACCAAACCCUGGACAUGGCUGAGGCGCCACCCAAAGCAAAAUAGAAUUGGUCCUGGAGGGAAACUAGCAAAAGCCGGUACCAAAAAUCGCUAUCGACGUGCUUCCCGAGAGAGAGGGAAAUUGCCGCUGCCAAGGCCCAAAGCUCCGUGCACUCUGUUAAUUCGAAUGUCAGUGAUAGGGUGCUUAGGUCGGAAAUUAGGUCUUCCCAUGUGCGGGAAGAGUGUUACCAAGAAAAGUCGCUGAAUAUCCCUUAGAAAAUCCUCAAAAAAUCUUCCAAACUUCUAUCAGAUGUAACUUUAAUUUUAUAAUUUUAAAAAAUAGUUCACGUACAGACUUAAAAAAUGGUCAACGAUCGAUUCAAAACUAGAUCAAUAUUGUGUGCCAAAUUUAAUGCAUAGUUCGACAUGAAUGCGAAUGCAUUCUAUGCAUGGAACCCACCGACUUUUAAGGUAAUUACAAUACUGAUCCUGAAUACUAAAUGAUUCCGGAAUCCUUUCUCACAUUAAAUUAAUUUCCAAAAAACUUAAGGAUCGUCUCAUUAUUCUGCCAACAGAAUGAACAAAUUAAGUUUACUUUAAAGAACCCAAAUAAAUGACACGAUAAAU